rnacentral:tRNA from 1 species
GGCUCCAUAGUGUAGUGGUUAGUACAUCUGCUUUACACACAGAAGGUCCUGGGUCCACGCCCCAGGUGGAGCCA